UACGGAGGGUGCAAGCGUUGUCCGGAUUUAUUGGGUUUAAAGGGUGCGUAGGCGGUCUUUUAAGUCAGCGGUGAAAUCCUCCAGCUUAACUGGAGAACUGCCAUUGAUACUGGAAGACUUGAGUACAGACGAGGUAGGCGGAAUUGACAGUGUAGCGGUGAAAUGCAUAGAUAUUGUCAAGAACACCGAUUGCGAAGGCAGCUUACUAGACUGUAACUGACGCUGAGGCACGAAAGUGUGGGGAGCGAACAGG
rnacentral:rRNA from 1 species